UUAAAGGCUGUGACAGAGAAGAGUAAACUGACAGGCCCCGCCAGAGAGAUGCACCGGAUCGAAAGACCGCUGAAACGUGCAUUCGGAAGAAAUCAGUUGAAGUUCGCUCUUGAGCCGAGCGGGUGAACAUUUCAGUAAUCCGUUCCGUUUUGCCAGCGUUAUAUGGCCGCCAGGUGUUCUUUUGAACUCAGCCUUCUGGCACAAAGCGGGCAGUUUUGGCUGUCAACAAGGGUGGUACCACGGACCCCAUCCCGUCCCUUGG
rnacentral:ncRNA from 1 species